GACGAACGCUGGCGGCGUGCUUAAUACAUGCAAGUCGAACGGAAAGGCCCUGCUCUUGCGCGGCGCUCGAGUGGCGAACGGGUGUGUAACACGCGAGUAACCUGCCCCUGACAUUCGGAUAUCACUUGGGAACUGGGGCUCAUAUCGCAUAGGAUCUCUUGCACCACGGUGGGGGAUGGAAAGAUUCGGUGGUUGGGGAUCGACUCGCGGCUUAUCAGCUACAUAGUGGAGUAGUGGCUUACCAAGGUUUUGACGGGUAGCCGACCUAAGAGGGUGACCGGCCUCCAGAGGACUGAGGGACGGCGCAGACGGCUACGGGAGGCAACGGGGGGGAGUAUGGCGCAAUAGGGGGGAGCCAGAUGCGACAACGCCGCGUGCGUAAUGACGUCCUUCGAGUUGUGAACCACUUUCGCCUUUGACAAGGCGUGAGUGACGGUAAUUGGUAAGAAAGCACCGGCUAACUACGUG
rnacentral:rRNA from 1 species